CAGAUUUCUCCUGCUGUCUGUUUGCAGGACGAGGAUGAUUCAUGAUUGUUUUUUUUUGAACACUCAUAACGAAACUGUAAGUCGCUUGUGUCACUUUUGCUUCUAGAUGUUAUCUAAUAAAAACAAAAAGGGCACACGGAGCCUGGGUUUAAAUUGAUCCCAGACGUCUCAAAAUAACCACCAGUGGAUCUUAUGACACCGAAAACUGCACUUUAAAAGGAAAGCUGGAGGAUCUUAGUGCGUAAGUGUUGAUCAUGUCAGGGUGGUGAACGACCUAAUCAGCUGAUCUUUGUUUAGCAUUCACCCGUGACACAUUCGCCAUACCAUCGCUCUGUUCCGGAGACAAGUUGAAAGCUUUCUCUUUUCAAGGCUGAUUUCUGAAGCUCGCUGCUGAUAUCAAGAUCCUCUUGAUGGCUGCUGUCUGUGUCAGGACUGCUACAUGGAGCUCUGUUUGGAUCUCUGUCCUUCUCCUGCUCAUCCUCCUGCAGAUGUUGAUCUCCCUGCAGCUUUUUGCUGGUGUCUUCGUCCACUCCGAUGAAGUCCUCAUCAGCCCUUUGUUCUUCUGUCGAACACCUGAACCUGGUGAACUGUCCUGCAUCAGCUGGUCCAGGAUCCAUCUCGAUGGAGCUGGAUCUGGCAUGAGUGUCCUCCAAACACUGGUUCUCCUGAGUUUUUAUGUUCCAGUGGUGCUUGUUGCCUUUGGCCUGCUGGCCAUGCUGUUGGCAGCCUAUUCCAAAGACGAAGCAGCACGUUGGUGGAGCUUGGCCUGCCAGGCGGCCUCAAGCCUCCUCACUCUGGCUGGUAUUGUUCUUUUUUUGGUGCUCUAUCAGUCCUAUGUGAGCCGGAAGGACGUGACCGUUUGGUUCUACGUCUGUGUCGGGGUGCAGGUGGAGCUGCUUGUCACAUCUGUGCUGACCUAUGCAUCAAGGAGAAAGUCAGAACCCGACUUGGUAUAGACGCGUCCCUUCUGCCCCUGCUUCAGCACAACCACAGGAACCCCAAGGGGAAACAUUUUAUUUCUGUAAAUAUUCUUUCAAAAAAAAAAAUCAUCAUCAGUCUGUUUUCUGUGAUAUUUAGACGUUUUGAAAACCUUGCUUAUGUUACUUGUAGAUUGUAAUUUUUUAAUGUGUAACUCAUUGCAGCUGCUAGAAUUCUGACAAACACGAGAAAGACGGCAGAUUCUUAAAUUCUUGUGUUGGCUUCCGUUUAUAUAGAACUGAAUUUGAGAGCCUCAUGAAUGGCCUGGGGGUCAGAAUACAUUGAAGAUGUGUUUGUUGAGUAAAACCCAGGAAGGUCUCAAAGUAUGGUUACAACUGCCUGUAUUCUUAUUCAACUUGUCUACAGUUUUGUUCACCAAAUUGCACAUUUCCAUGUUCCAUUUCAAUAUUUUUAUAAAAACAUACAUGCACUUUACCGAA